GCCAACUGACCCUGCCGAGGCUCAAACCAGCGAGCUUCUUGCUGUGAGGCGACAGCACUACCUACUGCGCCACUGUGUCGCCUUAUCUGAAAUCUUAUAUGCAUUAAUGUAAAUAUAUUAAAUGUGACCUCCUGUACUUUUAUUUUGGCAUCUCAGCGCUCACCCUGGGGCUGAUGUGUUCAGACUCAGCAUCAGUUGAACAUCUUUAAUCAGCCGCAGGUCAUCUAGAGGAGCUUUAACACAUGAGCUGUUCACACUUCUGUAUGGUCUAUAUCAGAAAGAGGGACGGUCGAGUUCUGCUGGAGACCUGCACAUAGAGGAACACAUGGACAUCAGACUGCUGAUCCAUCUGCACAGGAGACGAUGAAGAGGAGGAAGACAGAUGAUGGAGGAAAAGCUGAAAUAAAUCUGUUAUCAAGGGAAAUAUUCAGACAGAAUGAUGAGGAGUCUAGGAUGAAGAUAUGAAGAGACGACAUUUAUAUAACAUUAAAAUAUUAGUGGAGACAAAUAAACACGUGUGUGUGUGUGAGAAACAGAGAGGAGGAAGUGAUGUGAACUAGACUGAGGACGGAUAUGGAUUGGACGGAAGAUACCCUGAUUCACAUGGUCUCCAUUAGGUUGUGGGUUGUUUCUCUGGAUGUCUUCAAGCAAGCGUUCCUGUUCUUGUUGGUCUUUUGACUAAUCAUCUGACCGCUUUUGUUCUGAUCUGUAAUAUGAGGAAAAAGCAAUGAUGUUACAAAAGUGUUGCAUGAAAUUUAACAAGAAGAACCAGCGUAACACCAAUCUGCAUCAUUUACUGAUUAUUCUGGAGCAGAAAAGUAAUGAAUUGCCCCAUAAGCCUUACUGUAGCUGCACAAAUAGGUGAUGGUGAUCAGCAACAGGCUUAGUGAUUCAGUAAAUCUCCCUAUAGACUGACAAAAGUAACACACGGUGCUCUGGCAGAUACAGUAAAGGACAGAGAAAUCCUGAGGUUUGUAGCUGCUCAUUGAAAAGAAAGUAGAUACGUAUAAAACAACUGAGAUAAUCGCACCAAGAAUGAGAAGCAAACAUUGCCUUUUGAAGAUAUGGAGCCAGAAAAGAGAGGCCUGAUUUUGGGGUCUAGUGUGCAUUUUUGUAUUACUGUUAUUGAUCAGCUCAAGUUAUAUAGUUUGGUUUUACUCUGAUUUGCAUGGAUCAAUCAUUCUGUUUUCACCUUUAAUAAAUAUAACUUAUUCCUC